AUGGUGUCCCAACUCUUCUCCUUCGUCAAGAACCGCGAGCUUACUGUCAAAGAGGCCAUCCACAAUCAGGCCUGGACCAAAGAUGUCGCAGGCGGACUCUCGCUUCCUGCCAUUGUGCAGUUCCUCAAGGUAUGUGAGUUGGCGGAGAACACUACCCUCAAUGUGGAUGCCAGGGACACGCCGCGCUGGAUGUUGACGGCGGACAAACAAUUCUUUGUCUAG
rnacentral:rRNA from 1 species